ACGACCUUACUUGAACAGGAUCUGUUCUAUAGGCUCGUACCUCUGUAUCCUUGAGUUCUAAGGAGACAGGAACCUAAGUCUGGUGGAUGAUUCAGGACCGUGUGAUCUGAGCGUGAUUAAUGGCUCUGUGAUUCCCCUCUCUGAGAGGAGUCAUAUUGAGUCGUAGAGGAUCGUUUCCCAGCUAGGAUAAUCUGGUUGGGAUGGAUCACUCGGUUGUCUGACAGACU